UGGGGAAUAUUGGACAAUGGGCGCAAGCCUGAUCCAGCCAUGCCGCGUGAGUGAUGAAGGCCCUAGGGUUGUAAAGCUCUUUCACCGGUGAAGAUAAUGACGGUAACCGGAGAAGAAGCCCCGGCUAACUUCGUGCCAGCAGCCGCGGUAAUACGAAGGGGGCUAGCGUUGUUCGGAUUUACUGGGCGUAAAGCGCACGUAGGCGGACUAUUAAGUCAGGGGUGAAAUCCCGGGGCUCAACCCCGGAACUGCCGUUGAUACUGGUAGUCUUGAGUUCGAGAGAGGUGAGUGGAAUUCCGAGUGUAGAGGUGAAAUUCGUAGAUAUUCGGAGGAACACCAGUGGCGAAGGCGGCUCACUGGCUCGAUACUGACGCUGAGGUGCGAAAGCGUGGGGAGCAAACAGG
rnacentral:rRNA from 1 species